GAUGAACGCUGGCGGCGUGCUUAACACAUGCAAGUCGAACGAAGCACUUUAUUUGAUUUCCUUCGGGACUGAUUAUUUUGUGACUGAGUGGCGGACGGGUGAGUAACGCGUGGGUAACCUGCCUUGUACAGGGGGAUAACAGUUGGAAACGGCUGCUAAUACCGCAUAAGCGCACAGCAUCGCAUGAUGCAGUGUGAAAAAUUCCGGUGGUAUAAGAUGGACCCGCGUUGGAUUAGCUAGUUGGUGAGGUAACGGCUCACCAAGGCGACGAUCCAUAGCCGACCUGAGAGGGUGACCGGCCACAUUGGGACUGAGACACGGCCCAAACUCCUACGGGAGGCAGCAGUGGGGAAUAUUGCACAAUGGGCGAAAGCCUGAUGCAGCGACGCCGCGUGAGCGAAGAAGUAUUUCGGUAUGUAAAGCUCUAUCAGCAGGGAAGAUAAUGACGGUACCUGACUAAGAAGCAC
rnacentral:rRNA from 1 species